rnacentral:tRNA from 1 species
UUAAAUGAAGCCAAAAUAGAGGCAUUUUAAUGUUAAUAAAAUAAUUGAAAUUUAAUUCCAUUUAAA